rnacentral:rRNA from 1 species
GGCAACGGGUGAGUAACAUGUAGGUAUCUGCCCUUUGGCCGAAUAACACGAGGAAACUUGUGCUAAUACCGGAUAAGUCUUUACGGAGAAAGCUUUAUGCACCAUUGGAUGAGCCUGCACUUGAUUAGUUUGUUGGUGGGGUAAUGGCCUACCAAGACUGUGAUCAAUAGCUGAUUUGAGAGGAUGAUCAGCCACAUUGGGACUGAGACACGGCCCAAACUCCUACGGGAGGCAGCAGUGGGGAAUCUUGCACAAUGGAGGAAACUCUGAUGCAGCGAUGCCGCGUGAGUGAAGAAGGCCCUUGGGUUGUAAAGCUCUUUCGUCGGGGAAGAAAAUGACUGUACCCGAAUAAGAAGGUCCGGCUAACUUCGUGCCAGCAGCCGCGGUAAUACGAAGGGACCUAGCGUAGUUCGGAAUUACUGGGCUUAAAGAGUUC